CUAUACACUUACUAUGCACAUUGCGUAGGGCCAGCAAAUUAAGCAAGGCCCCGCUUCCCCUCGUGUCAAAGCGAGUUUGUCAAUAGUGACAACUUUAAUGAGAGGGUGAAGCAUAACUAUCCUUCUUUGGCAUGAGAAGAGAAAAAAACCCACAACAGCGAACUGCGGAAACAGCGGUCAUGUAAAUGUGUGUUCUCUCCUCUGAUGACAGCAAAAAACAUCGGAUGGUUGGACCCGCUCAGUGGUGCUGCACACGGUCAACAUUCCUACCCGACCUGUCUGUCCUGCUCUCAUGGAGAUUGCCUUGCCUGGAAGCCUCAGCCUUCCGCCCCAAGCCGUUUGCCUGCCUGACUGCCUGGUCCUUACUCACCAGCCACCCUGCUCAGUAUAACAAUUUCUGUUCAAUAUCCUAUGACAAGUUUUUGUAUUAAAUACUUAAAAAAUUCUCCUUGUGUCUCUGGUCUGCAUUUGAGACCUUUACCUUGUGAAACAUAACACUGGCCUAUAUUAAAUACGAACUGAAAGCUGGUGUUGAUGUAAUUUCCCUCUGCCAUGACCUUGGCAAGCAGUAGUGCUGAGGAAGGAUUGAUUUCAGGAUCUGGUAAGCCACUUUGUGUUGAUACAUGGAAAACUAUGACACAGGCUUAGGGUUGCUGCUAUCCACCUACUCAACAUGUACUUAAAUUGAGCAGCUUAUUGUUAAAAAAAGAUAAAUAAUUUGCAAUAUGACUGUAACAGCCCUUUCUGUGACCUCUAGACUUCCCCAGGGUUUCCUGUUUGUUUCCCUGUCUGUCAUUCCCUGUGUCCCCUCCUCCUGGUGUGUACGUAUGUUUCUCAGCAGGGGCGUGGCUCAGCGAUCCCCACCUGGUACACCUGACUCUCAUCAUCAUCGAGCUCAGUACAAGAACCCCGGCUCUCCACUCACUCGUCGCCAGAUUGUUCCGCUCUC